GUGGCUUUAGUCCCGGGGUUUGUUCCCAGCAGCUCGAGCUGCAGUUGCCAGAAUGUGAGGAGUUGGUUGUGAUUAACAUUUGGUAUCU